UGCCUUGACUGUGUAGUGGUCAAUAUGCUUGCCUGGUAAACAGGAGGGUGUGGGUUCAAUCCCAGCCAAGGUAU
rfam:Asian citrus Psyllid, Diaphorina citri - Florida Strain, whole genome shotgun sequence.